rnacentral:siRNA from 1 species
UAAACUUCUAAUUAUCCUAGGUC